CCUACGGGUGGCAGCAGUGGGGAAUAUUGGGCAAUGGACGCAAGUCUGACCCAGCAACGCCGCGUGAAGGAAGAAGGCCUUCGGGUUGUAAACUUCCUUUAAGGGGGAAGAGCAGAAGACGGUACCCCUUGAAUAAGCCACGGCUAACUACGUGCCAGCAGCCGCGGUAAUACGUAGGUGGCAAGCUUUGUCCGGAUUUACUGGGUGUAAAGGGCGUGCAGCCGGAAAGACAAGUCAGAUGUGAAAUCCACGGGCUCAACUCGUGGACUGCAUUUGAAACUGUUUCCCUUGAGUGUCGGAGAGGUAAUCGGAAUUCCUUGUGUAGCGGUGAAAUGCGUAGAUAUAAGGAAGAACACCAGUGGCGAAGGCAGAUUACUGGACGAUAACUGACGGUGAGGCGCGAAAGCGUGGGGAGCGAACAGGAUUAGAUACCCCUGUAGUC
rnacentral:rRNA from 1 species